rnacentral:rRNA from 1 species
AUUGAACGCUGGCGGCGUGCCUAACACAUGCAAGUCGAGCGGUAACAGGUGUAGCAAUACAUGCUGACGAGCGGCGGACGGGUGAGUAACGCUUGGGAAUCUGCCUGUUAGUGGGGGACAAACCCGGGGAAACUCGGGCUAAUACCGCAUACGCACUACGGUGGAAAGGCCGGGGACCGCAAGGCCUGGCGCUAACAGAUGA